rnacentral:rRNA from 1 species
UACGAAGGGGACUAGCGUUGUUCGGAAUUACUGGGCGUAAAGCGCGCGUAGGCGGAUCGCUAAGUCAGGGGUGAAAUCCCAGGGCUCAACCCUGGAACUGCCUUUGAUACUGACGAUCUGGAGAUCGGGAGAGGUGAGUGGAAUUCCGAGUGUAGAGGUGAAAUUCGUAGAUAUUCGGAGGAACACCAGAAGCGAAGGCGGCUCACUGGCCCGAUACUGACGCUGAGGCGCGAAAGCUAGGGUAGCAAACGGG